UAAUCAUAUGCAUAUACUAUAUUCCUGGCAUGAGUAGCAGGACGUUGAAAUGUUGCGCGAUUUUUAACAAAAUGUUGAAAAAAUUCAAGAGAGCCACACUGUGUUGUUACACUGGUGAGUAAAAACUCAUGCUUCCUACCCUUUAACUUGUUGUCUGAAGAUAAAAUAUCAAUUUUACUCAACUGUGUCCAGUCAGCAGAUGGACUAGAUGCCGCUUAGGCCGCCAGUUGUGACUCCUUCAAGAAUUCAGCAGAGCAAGUUUGUAUGAAGGUCUGGUUAUUAAAUGGGUUCAUAGUUCAAUUUCCUCUAAAACUAUCUAUUGACAAACUUUGCUGCCCUGUUUCCAGUUGUCCACAUGGCUGGGAUAACCUCUUCAAGUAAGUAAAUACAUUUUGAAAAUGUAAAAAAAAAUCUGUAUUAUUAGCUAACUAGCUACAGUGCAGGCUAACUCAAAUGAGCUGCUAAAUGAGCUAUCUAACCAACUUCACAUUCUGUAUAGAUAGAUAGCUAGCUAAGUGAAUUAAAUAUCACCAUCAACCUAGCUUCAUAUUAGCCAUCUUGUAUUUAUCACUGUAAAAAAACAAACUCCAAAUGUAGGUAGCUAACAGCCAUGGAGGGUGAAAGGAUAGCAGCCAGUGAGAGAGGAGGUUAUUCUGGAAAGGGCAGGAACUUUUGUGUUGUUCCUGUCCCUAGAAGUGAGGAUGGAGAUAAUACUAACGUAAUAUUCAGUGUGGUGUAAUUUGACUACAAUGAAGUCUGUUUCUUGUGAGGUUUUCUGUCCUCAGAUAAAGAGCUCUAUGAAAGCCAGUCUACAUACAGUAUGAAGAGGUCCCAAUGAACAGCAGUGGUCCUCAGUCCUGGGGACUCAAGAGGGGCACAUUUUUGUUUUUGCCUUCAAACUGCACAGCUGAUUCAAAUGAUCAACUCAUCAUCAAGGUUCAAGUGGUAUUUCUGUAUUAAUUUGUGAUACCAUCCUUGAUAUGAUCAUGUUAUUGUCACAUGCUACACAUGCACAUAUGUGUGCCCAUGCAUCUAUCAAUCCAAUGUUAUCAUGAUUUGUUAUCAGGGAGAUUAUACUUUAGGAGUCCACAAUGAACUGGUGAUGUAAAAGUCUAAUAAUUACAUUGUCUUCCAUAUUCCUACAGAUACCUUGUAACUGGAGAUUCCUUCAAAACGAUUGCCUACGGUUACCAGGUAGGGCACUGGAAGGUUGGGUGACCAUGGUCAUCUGGGACUGCCUCCUGGAGGAAUUCAGGUGUGUGAAGGCUACCUGUGUCCUGCGUAACUUCAUGAGGAUGGACAUAAGGACCAGGAGGGGAUCUGCUGCUCGCCGCCGUGUGCCAGAGGAGAAGUCUAACAACGCAGCAAGAGAGGCAAUCCGGGUGCAUGAGAUCUUCACCUCCUACUUCUUCAACGAGGGUGCUGUUCCCUGGCAACACCAUAGACUACACUAUGCACAACCAAAGUCUCUUUUAAGAGCCAUUCACAUUGCAAUAAGAGUAUUCUUCCAUUUACUUAGCUAUGUCAACUGCAGUUAUUCCAUUCCCAGUUUCUCUCCCUUUGAUUUCUACUUCUCAGGUGAGGGUGCUGUUUAGGUAAGGGUGUGAUGUCUGUGCAAAAAACAAUACAGACUAUUUUAAAUUACUAAUAUUGAAAAAAUUUAGAACAAUUAGACACCCUAUAACCCACACCUACACACUCAUGUAUCAAUCUGAUUGAUGGAUUGUGUUGUGCAGUAAGCAGGUUCAGGUGUAUAACUGUGGCUCCUUCCACCUUCAAAGAAUAUGCAAGAGGUCCAACCAUGGAGAAUAGUAAGACACUUCAUUAUUGCUAUAACUUUGUGUUAAGUGAAUUUCAUUCCUGUGUUCAUUAACCAAUUCAAUUUAAAUCCUCUGUCUGUUUCUAAGAAUUUGUAAGGUUCUUAUUAAAAUGAAACAGACAGAGAUCAGUCUACUUAGUAAGUAGCGUUUACUCUCGUGAGCUCUGCUGUGCACACACAAAAACAUUCCUCUUAUAAAAUUUUAACCUAUGAACAUACAUACACACCAACAUAGGGAUUUUCUCAUGAGUCUCACCACAGUUUAUCACCACUCAGCUGACAGUUCCAGUCUCCCCCAGAUACGAGAGCUCUGGAGGGGCUCUCCCUGUCCUAUCUUAUCUCUCCAGAGUUACAGCCAGGUCAGUUCAAACAGGUUAUUGCUACUCUCUGCUCUCUUUCUACCCCCACAUACAUUCCUUACUUCCUAGUUCCAUGCUAUAUAACCCCUUCCUAAUGAACAAACAUUAUUUAACACUACUAGAAAGACAGGGUAGAAUUAUUGCCAGUUAUAGUUCUGUAUACAUUAUUUAGUCAUAAUUCAUAAAAAAAUCCCACAACACUAUGCUAUAUUGUUUGUCCUUGUGUGUUUACAUGUUUUUCAGCAUAAACUACUCUGCAGCCACUUAGUGUGGUGUGGACACCAGGUUAUAUCAGCUGUGUCGGUGAACCCCUCCUGCAGCUGAACAGGCUACAUAGAGGGCACAGCAUGAUCAGAUGUGAGAGGUCAUUUGGUCAGGUCAACAGGAAGUGUUAUUAAAGAGAUGCUUUACAUUGAAAUACAGAUAGAUGCAGUAGUCCCAGAGUUAAUGAUCCAAGGUCAGUUUAUAUUAUACAGGAAGUAUUAUUAAAGAGAUACUUUACAUUUAAAUACAGAUAGAUGCAGUAGUCCCAGAGUUAAUGGAAGUUGGAAGUUGUCACGGCUGUUGAAGGAAGUGGACCAAGGUGCAGCAUUGUGAGUGAGCAUGUUCUUUUAUUAUAAAACCACCAGAGGUGUGGACUCCGGCCGCAAAACCUGAACCUAUAGGGGAGGGUCUGGGUGGGCAUUUAUCCGCGGUGGCUGCUAAGGGACGCAGACCCCGCUCCACCACUGGCUCACCCCACUUUGGAGGCACCUCUGGUGCGGGGACCCUCGUCGCCGAGUCCGGACUUGGGACCCUCGUAGCGGGCCCCGGACUGGGCACCGUCGCUGCGGGCCCCGGACUGGGCACUGUCGCUGCGGACCCUGGACUGGAGACCGUCGCUGGAGGCCGUCGCUGGAGGCUCCGGACUGGAGGCCAUCAUUGUAGGCUUCGUGCCAUGACUCCUCAAAGGAGGAUUCGUGCAUGAAUCAUCACUGGAGGAUCGGUGCCAUGGAUCAUCACUGGAGGCUUCGUGCCAUGGAUCAUCACUGGAGGCUUCGUGCCAUGGAUCAUCACUGGAGGCUUUUUGCCAUGGAUCAUCACUGGAGUGGAGAGACACACAGGAGGCCUGGCUCUGGGAGCAGGCACAGGACUCACCAGGCUGGGGAGACAUACAGGAGGCUUAGUUCUUGGCAGAGGCACUGGAUACACUGGGCCGUGGAGGCGCACUGGUGGUCUCGAGCGCAGAGCUGGCACAACCCGUUCUGGCUCGAGGCCCACUUCCACCCGGCAAAUGCGGGACGUUGGCACAGAGCACACUGGCCUGUGAAUGCUCAACCGAGACACCGUGCGCAUCACCCCAUAGCACGGUGCCUGACCAGUCACAUAUUCGCCACGGUAAGCAUGGGGAGUUGGUUCAGGUCUGAAUCCUGAUUCUGGCACACUCCCCAUGUGUCUCCCUCCCAAAAAUCUUUGGGGCUGCCUUUCGGGCUUCCUUUGUAGCCGUUUUCCUUCAUAACGCUGACGCUCUGCUUUAGCUGCUGCCUUCGCCUUCCUCUCUGCAUCUACCUUCUCCCAGGGCAGGCGAUCCUUCCCAGCCAGGAUCUCCUCCCACGUCCAGGAUCCCUUGCCAUUCAAAAUGUUCUCCCACGUCCAUUCCUCCUUACCACGCUGCUUGGUCCAUUUGUGGUGGGAAGUUCUGUCAUGGCUGUUGAAGGAAGUGGACCAAGGUGCUGCGUGGUGAGCGUGAAUUGUCUUUUAUUAUAAAAAAUUACGCCAACAAAACAAGAAAACAAUUGAGUAAAGCCGCCAUUGUUCCUCCCGCUGUUAUGGAAAAAGCUACACACUCGGUUGAUAUAUUAUCGAAUAUAUAUUUUAAAAACUACCUUAAGAUUGAUUAUAAAGAACGUUUGACAUGUUUCUGUGGACAUUAUAGAUAUUAUUUGGAAUAUACAUCUGCGUUAUGGUGACCGCUCUUUCUUGUGGAUUUCUGAACAUAAUGCGACAAACAAACGUUGGUAUUUUGGGUAUAAAAAUAAUCUUUAUGGAACAAAAGGAACAUUUGCUGUGUAACUGGGAGUCUCGUGAGGGAAAACAUCCGAAGAUGAUCAAAUGUAAUCGGUUAAUUUGAUUGCUUUUCUGAUUUUUGUGACCAAGCUUCCUGAUGCUAAGUGUACAUAAUGCUAUGCUAGGCUAUCGAUAAACUUACACAAACGCUUGGAUUGCUUUCGCUGUAAAGCAUAAUUUCAAAAUCUGAGACGACAGGGUGAUUAACAAAAGGCUACGCUGUGUUUCUCAAUAUUGCACUUGUGAUUUCAUGAAUAUUUGUUAGUAAUAUAAUUUGAUUGUUCCGCUAUGCUAUUCAGCGGUUGCUGACAAAUUAUCCCGCUACAGGGAUAGAUAGCGUCAAGAAGUUAAAGAGAUGCUUUACAUUGAAAUACAGAUAGAUGCAGUAGUCCCAGAGUUAAUGAUCCAAGGUCAGUUUAUAUUAUACAGGAAGUGUUAUUAAAGAUAUGCUUUACAUUGAAAUACAGAUAGAGAUGCAGUAGUCCCAGAGUUAAUGAUCCAAGGUCAGUUUUGCGUUUCACCUCCUGAUUGAGGACUAACAAUGUUAGAAUAAAA